rnacentral:rRNA from 1 species
GAAUGAUAUCUCAGGCAAAAAUUAGUCUAAGAUGAGAUAUCUUAUCAUCUCUUUUUUUUUUUUAAAGGCAAAAAAUAUUCUGGUCUUUUAUUGUUUUUGGCGCCCUUGGGGGGAUCGGGAAAAUUUUUUGGGGGAGUAAGUAUCCCCGGAGGGGCAAGGUUGAUUUUUAAUUAACCGGAAAUAGUACGAUAGGGUUGAAGGCCUAAGGGGAAACAGCCCAAAACAAGAGUUAGGGUCCCUAAAUUAAGGUUAAGGGAAAUUAGGGUAGUUUCUUUUAAAUACAACUAGAAGGUAGGUUUAAAAGGGGCCUUUUUUUGAAAACCCCGUAACAAAGCACGGGUUUAGAAAGUAGUUAACUUUUUACUUGGAUAAAAGCCCCGAAAAUAUUUCGAAUCUAAACAAUAUCCCGACCCCUUGUUCAGGUUUAUAAAUAAAGAAAAAAAUAAAAAGCCCAACUAAGUAGGGUUAACCCGGCCCCAACUGGCCGGCUAGAAGGGAAGGCUCCUAAACCAAAAAGAGCAGGCGGGUUUGGCCAGCAGGCAGGCAACGGCUGGCUGGUAACCCAGCAGGCAGCCCCUUUUUUUAAAUCAGGGGAAGGGUUUUGCCCUUGACAGUAAGGGAAAGGCUUUGCCCUGGAUUUAACAAAAAACCAAAAAAGAGCAGGCUUUGCCCUUGACAG